UAGUCCACGCCGUAAACGAUGUCGACUAGCCGUCGGGCACAUCUGGUGCUUGGUGGCGUAGCUAACGCGUUAAGUCGACCGCCUGGGGAGUACGGCCGCAAGGUUGAAACUCAAAGGAAUUGACGGGGGCCCGCACAAGCGGAGGAACAUGUGGUUUAAUUCGAUGAUACGCGAGGAACCUUACCUGGACUUAAAUGUGCGUUGCAUAGAUCAGAGAUGGUCUUUUCUUCGGACUACGUACAAGGUGCUGCAUGGUUGUCGUCAGCUCGUGCCGUGAGGUGUCGGGUUAAGUCCCAUAACGAGCGCAACCCUUAUCCUUAGUUGCCAGCGGGUAGAGCCGGGGACUCUGAGGAGACUGCCACCGUAAGGUGUGAGGAAGGUGGGGAUGACGUCAAAUCAGCACGGGCCCUUAUGUCCAGGGGCUACACACGUGUUACAAUGGACGGUACAAAGGGGCAGCUACCUGGUGACAGGAUGCUAAUCUCUAAAGCCGUUCUCAGUUCGGAUCGAAGUCUGC
rnacentral:rRNA from 1 species